rnacentral:rRNA from 1 species
CCUACGGGAGGCAGCAGUGAGGAAUAUUGGUCAAUGGACGAGAGUCUGAACCAGCCAAGUAGCGUGAAGGAUGACUGCCCUAUGGGUUGUAAACUUCUUUUAUAAAGGAAUAAAACGAGGCACGUGUGCCUUUUUGCAUGUACUUUAUGAAUAAGGAUCGGCUAACUCCGUGCCAGCAGCCGCGGUAAUACGGAGGAUCCGAGCGUUAUCCGGAUUUAUUGGGUUUAAAGGGAGCGUAGAUGGGUUGUUAAGUCAGUUGUGAAAGUUUGCGGCUCAACCGUAAAAUUGCAAUUGAUACUGGCAGUCUUGAGUACAGUUGAGGUAGGCGGAAUUCGUGGUGUAGCGGUGAAAUGCUUAGAGAUCACGAAGAACGCCGAUUGCGAAGGCAGCUUACUAAACUGCCACUGACAUUGAUGCUCGAAAGUGUGGGUAGCAAACAGGAUUAGAUACCCCUGUAGUC